rnacentral:rRNA from 1 species
UAGGGAAUCUUCCGCAAUGGGCGAAAGCCUGACGGAGCAACGCCGCGUGAGUGAUGAAGGUCUUCGGAUCGUAAAACUCUGUUAUUAGGGAAGAACAAAUGUGUAAGUAACUAUGCACGUCUUGACGGUACCUAAUCAGAAAGCCACGGCUAACUACGUGCCAGCAGCCGCGGUAAUACGUAGGUGGCAAGCGUUAUCCGGAAUUAUUGGGCGUAAAGCGCGCGUAGGCGGUUUUUUAAGUCUGAUGUGAAAGCCCACGGCUCAACCGUGGAGGGUCAUUGGAAACUGGAAAGCUUGAGUGCAGAAGAGGAAGGUGGAAUUCCAUGUGUAGCAGUGAAAUGCGCAGAGAUAUGGAGGAACACCAGUGGCGAAGGCGACUUUCUGGUCUGUAACUGACGCUGAUGUGCGAAAGCGUGGGGAUCAAACAGG